AUACUUACCUGGCAGGAAAGAUACCAUAAUCACAAAGGUAGUUUCCCCAGGACGAGGCUCACCCAUUGCACUCCCGGUGUGCUGAUCCCUGCAAUUUCCCAAAAUGUGGGACUUGACUGCAUAAUUUGUGGUAGUGUGGGACUGUGUUCGCGCUCUCCCCUU